rnacentral:rRNA from 1 species
CGGCGGACGGGUGAGUAACACGUGGAUAACCUACCUAUAAGACUGGGAUAACUUCGGGAAACCGGAGCUAAUACCGGAUAAUAUAUUGAACCGCAUGGUUCAAUAGUGAAAGACGGUUUUGCUGUCACUUAUAGAUGGAUCCGCGCCGCAUUAGCUAAUUGGUAAGGUAACGGCUUACCAAGGCAACGAUGCGUAGCCGACCUGAGAGGGUGAUCGGCCACACUGGAACUGAGACACGGUCCAG